UACAGAGGGGGCUAGCGUUGUUCGGAAUUACUGGGCGUAAAGGGCGCGUAGGUGGCCUGUUAAGUCGGAUGUGAAAUCCCUCGGCUUAACCGAGGAAGUGCAUCCGAAACUGCCGUGCUUGAGUACUUAAGAGGAUCGCGGAAUUCCCGGUGUAGAGGUGAAAUUCGUAGAUAUCGGGAGGAACACCAGUGGCGAAGGCGGCGAUCUGGGAAGAUACUGACGCUGAGGUGCGAAAGCGUGGGGAGCAAACAGG
rnacentral:rRNA from 1 species